rnacentral:rRNA from 1 species
UAGGGAAUCUUCCGCAAUGGACGCAAGUCUGACGGAGCAACGCCGCGUGAGUGAAGAAGGAUUUCGGUUCGUAAAACUCUGUUGUUAGAGAAGAACAGCGCAUAGAGUAACUGUUAUGCGUGUGACGGUAUAUAACCAGAAAGCCACGGCUAACUACGUGCCAGCAGCCGCGGUAAUACGUAGGUGGCAAGCGUUGUCCGGAUUUAUUGGGCGUAAAGCGCGCGUAGGCGGUUUUUUAAGUCUGAUGUGAAAGCCCACGGCUCAACCGUGGAGGGUCAUUGGAAACUGGAAAACUUGAGUGCAGAAGAGGAAAGUGGAAUUCCAUGUGUAGCGGUGAAAUGCGCAGAGAUAUGGAGGAACACCAGUGGCGAAGGCGACUUUCUGGUCUGUAACUGACGCUGAUGUGCGAAAGCGUGGGGAUCAAACAGG